GUUGACUGUAUAUUCAGCUCGAAGUCAUACACGGACAAUGCGAUCUCUGAGCUCGAUAUAAAACAUGACAUAACGGUAAAUAACCGUUGAACUAUACAUACAAGAUUUUGGCGCGCUCUAGUGGCCAACCGAAAUCACCAAAUAAACAAACAGCAGCGAUGGCUCAAGCAAAGGACACGCACAAAUGUAAGUAUUUUCAGCACUUUAAUUACGGCAGACUGGUGUAAUAAUACUAUUUUCGAGCGGUUUUUAAUUGUGAAGUUAAGUUCGUUUCAAGGGCUAGUUAGUUUUGAAUCACUAGUCAAGUUUGUUUUGAUUCACUAGUCAAGUUUGUUUUGAAUCACUAGAAGCCGAUGCUAAUGUGUUCCGCUAUCGCUAUUUGUUGAGAUAGAUAUCCGAUAACCCUUGACAUGACAUGUUAAGGUUUCAAGUAAAAUUUGUGUGCAGUGGAUUUGCUUACUACUACAAUUCCUUGGUUGAUUAUACCGGCGCACUGAUUUGAUAUCGGUAAAGCUGCCACCUAGGCUACGUCGCUCGCCUGUCAAACUGAAGAUUUCCUUUCCACUUUUACCUCAGGGACACCACAGGAGACCAGACGGCUCAUUAAUUUCAGGGCGACCAGGGACAAUGAGUUUCUCAAAUCGAAAAUGAUCGCCAGAAAACAGUGGGAGCUUUUUCUGGAAGAAACGGGGAUGGAGGGGAAAGUGACAAGGCAACAGGCUUCUAAGAAGUGGGAGAACCUUAAAAAGAAGUACAAGGUAUGUGUCAUAUAUCAACCAAACAAGACCAUUGUUUUUGUUGUAAUUUAGUAUUUGCUGUGUGUGUGUGUGUGUGUGUGUGUGUGUCUGUGUGUGUGUGUGUGUCUGUUUGUUUUUUCAGGAUUUGAGGACUCCCAAAACUGGGUCGGGGACUGAAAGUGGGGAGGUGACUGUGGCGACGUGGCAGUAUUAUGAUUUGAUGCACAAGGUUCUUGGUGCCCGGCCAGCAAUUGACCCACCAGUCCUUGUGUCAUCGAUUCAAGACCCCAUGGUUAUCCUCAUGGAGAUGGUUGAGCCCUACACCCAAGCACCCACGACAGCAGCCAGCACCCCAGUACACCCUACCACAUCAAUCAUACGAAGGAGGUCCAAAACAGUGGCAGAACUCCUGGCUGAGGAGGCCCUUCAGGAGCAGAGGCGCCAUGAAGAGAGUGAGGCCAAGACGGAUCGCUUUCUGGAUCUCUUUGAGAGGAUGGUCAACAAAUUAUAAUUAUUGAUUUUUGUUGUUCCUAUGUUUUUUAUUCUU